CUAAUACAUGCAGUCGAACGCACAGCGAAAGGUGCUUGCACCUUUCAAGUGAGUGGCGAACGGGUGAGUAACACGUGGACAACCUGCCUCAAGGCUGGGGAUAACAUUUGGAAACAGAUGCUAAUACCGAAUAAAACUUAGUGUCGCAUGACACAAAGUUAAAAGGCGCUUCGGCGUCACCUAGAGAUGGAUCCGCGGUGCAUUARUUAGUUGGUGGGGUAAAGGCCUACCAAGACAAUGAUGCAUAGCCGAGUUGAGAGACUGAUCGGCCACAUUGGGACUGAGACACGGCCCAAACUCCUACGGGAGGCUGCAGUAGGGAAUCUUCCACAAUGGGCGAAAGCCUGAUGGAGCAACGCCGCGUGUGUGAUGAAGGCUUUCGGGUCGUAAAGCACUGUUGUAUGGGAAGAACAGCUAGAAUAGGAAAUGAUUUUAGUUUGACGGUACCAUACCAGAAAGGGACGGCUAAAUACGUGCCAGCCGCCGCGGGUAAUACAA
rnacentral:rRNA from 1 species